AGCUGACGGUACCCGAACUGAAGAUCGGCUCAGUCGCAACCGUUCGGCUGUGCACUAGACGUAUCCGGGUCGUAUGACUUCGGCCAUUAGCCCGGAUUCCUCUGAAGGCUUUCUACAAUGGAAAUCUAUCUACACUAGAUGUUGGCAGGAAUAGCACACGAUAGUACAGUACAGUACACUAAAGCCCCUAAUACAACGAUUGAGGGAAGGAACGAUGGCGGCGGCGAUGACUGUGAGCAGUGAGCAAUGGAUAUUAUAUGGAAUACUGUAGAUUGUAGAAUAAAGGAAUGAAGCUGGCGCAUGAUUUUUUUCAACAGAGGCGAUGUUUUUUAGUCGUUUUUGCUCCUCGUUUCGUUGCUGGCUGGGCUGGUUGCUUGUUUCAUUUACCUUCUCGGUUGGUCUCGUUUUUCUCUGCAUUAUUUUUUGAGAAAAUGCAGUGUUUGCGACUUCCCACUAAAUUCUUUUUUCGCUGAGAUUUCUCGACAGCAUCCAUCCAAUAAUGAUAUUAAAUAAUUAGAAUUUUAAAGAAUAUUUUUUCUAAUAUGAUAUGGCAAGGGGUAGAGAUGAUUUGUCAAUAGCAAUAGAAAUAAAUUAUUUCGUAUCAAUCAG